rnacentral:tRNA from 1 species
GCGGGGGUAGCUCAACUGGUAGAGCGCUAGCCUUCCAAGCUGGAUGUUACGGGUUCGAGCCCCGUCCCCCGCUCCA